UUGCCUGGCUGUCAGGUGGCCUCACCCCUUAGUGCCAUCCAGUGAUGAAGUCACCAGGUGGAGGUGGUGCUGGCUAAAACUCGAAGAUUAUUCCUUUACUCUGAGAAUCUCCUCAACAUCCACCAUUCCUGCUAUCUGGAACUCAAGUCAUCAGCAUACAGAACUACAAUCAGAAAAAGAGUCAGCCCCACUGGUGCUUGGGGAGGAUGGUGGGAAGGAAUGAAGAGGACAAGGA
rnacentral:lncRNA from 1 species